CCCCUCUCAGGGUCGCACCUGGAGAGUUUCUAGUCCUCUACCAGUCUCGGCUAGGGGAGGGAGAGUCAAGAAGAGGCCUACUCAUUCCAUUCCUAGCUUGGCCAGUGGCUGGUGAGUGGCAGGCACUGUGCCACAAGU